GAGGGGCAGUGUCCCUACCCAGGCUUGGAGGAGGAGCCUCAAGGGGUGUGUGUGGUUGGGGGAGACAGGCGGUGUCACCUGUGCUUAGACCAGGGGCGGUGGGCGGGUACCCUUGAGGUGGCAAGGUCACACUGCUCAUCAGAAGUUUCUCACUAGGGUCUUCUCUGGCCCAGCCUUUGACUGAAGCUGGUCUGGAGACAGGGGCGUUAGAGAAGUGACUCAUAGAUGGCCUAAAUAAGCGGGGCCACUCAAGGACCCAGGACAGGGGGAAGAGGGCCAACCCAUCUGGACCGCAGGCAAACCCCAUGGCCUUUGAGAGAAGAGAGAAGAGGACCCGGUGAAGUAGGCUCCGAGGGCCUCAGCCCAGCAGGAGCGCAGGGAGCUGCACCAGGAACUCACAGAGGAUCAGGGAGAAUUCUGAGAACAUGCUACUGUGGUGCUGCCUAGAGAGGAAGGAUAAAUGAUGACAAGUACAUCUCUGAGUAACAUGUAACCCAUCUAUUUUACUGAAGAAAUGGGAAGAGCUGAAUGCUGAAUACACUGAAUGUCUGCAGGUUGUGCAAGUUUGUGACUUUAUCACUUUCUAAUUUCUGAUCUGUGUGGACCACUCUACAGAUUUUUCUCACUGGUGUGAUCAGCCUUCUGGAUGUCAAAUAUAAUAGACUUUCAAUAAUAUAAAAGUCAACACAAGCUCCUCAUGGUUUCAGUGCUCAGUGAUGACUCUAAACUUACACAAUGUGUUUCUUUAUUAGUUUUGUUUUCUGGUAUCUCUACUCGGCAUCUUCACCACACCCAUUUUAUGUUUCUUAUACAGGCUUUCUUCUAUGAAAUGCUAUGUCAUGAAUAUGCAAAUAACCUGAGAUCCACUGAGGUAAAUUUGGAUGUCUGUGCCCUGAGAGCAUCACCCAACAACCACAUCCCUCCUCUAUAGAAGCCCCUGAGAACACAGCUCCUCACCAUGGACUGUACCUGGGGGAUCCACUUCUUGGUGGCAGCUGCCACAGGUGUCCAUUCCCAGGUUCAGCUGUUGCAGCCUGGGGCUGAGGUGAAGAAGCCUGGGUCCUCAGUGAAGGUCUCCUGCCAGGCUUCCAGAUACACCUUCACCAAAUACUUUACACGGUGGGUGUGACAAAGCCCUGGACAAGGGCAUAGUGGAUGGGAUGAAUCAACCCUUACAAUGAUAACACACACUAUGCACAGACGUUCUGGGGCAGAGUCACCAUUACCAGUGACAGGUCCAUGAGCACAGCCUACAUGGAGCUGAGCAACCUGAGAUCUGAAGACAUGGUCAUGUAUUACUGUGUGAGAGACACAGUGCAAAAACCCACAUCCUGAGAGUGUCAGAAACCCCAGGAAGGAGACACCUGUGCUGACACAGAGGAGAUGACAAAGAUUAUUAGAUUAAAGAUUUGCUUAGAAAAUGACAUUAAGUCAUUAAAGAAAAGGAACAAUAUUAAUGUGUAUUUGAGAAAUUUUAAUUAUUUGAGAGAUUUUUCAUACAACAUUUAUUCUGUAAACAAAUUUCAAUGAUUAGAGAAUUAAUCAAAUUAAUGAAACUAAUAUAGAACUUCCUCUGAAGGUAUCUCUGUAAACAUUAAUUUCUUAAUCAGUGCUGUAAGUAUUUUGGAAUACAGACACAAAAUCACAUUUUAAGUCUGCAUUUAUAUCUAUUAAAAAUGCCAAAAAAAUCUCCUUUUGUGCGUGUAGCAUUUUGAAUUCCCACCAUCAAUGCAUGAUAGUUCUUGGUUUUCCACAUUCAUAUUGCCAUGUAUCCUUAUGAGAGUUGUGUGUUUUAACCAAUCUAGUAGGUGAGUAAUGGGAUCUAAUUUUUAUUUAAAUGCACAUGUCCCUCAAAAAGUUCAUAUUUAACAAUUUUCCAAUAACUUUUGUUGAGAUGCCU
rnacentral:lncRNA from 1 species